UCAUUGCUGAGGAGUCCCAUAAUAGGACGAAACGGCUGUUCAGUGC
rfam:Schistosoma mansoni, Puerto Rico, WGS project CABG01000000 data, contig: 0097